CAGAGGUCCCAAGCGUUGUUCGGAUUCACUGGGCGUAAAGGGUGCGCAGGAGGGUUUGCAAGUUUGAUGUGAAAGCCCCGGGCUUAACCCGGGAAUGGCAUUGAAUACUGCAGAUCUGGAGGAUUGGAGGGGGGACUGGAAUUCUUGGUGUAGCAGUGAAAUGCGUAGAUAUCAAGAGGAACACCAGUGGCGAAGGCGAGUCCCUGGACAAUACCUGACACUGAGGCACGAAAGCUAGGGGAGCAAACAGGAUUAGAUACCCUGGUAGUCCUAGCUGUAAACGGUGCGCAUUUGCUGUAAACGGAAUCGACCCCGUUUGUGGCGAAGCUAACGCGAUAAAUGCGCCGCCUGGGAAGUACGGUCGCAAGAUUA
rnacentral:rRNA from 1 species